UACGUAGGGGGCUAGCGUUGUCCGGAAUCAUUGGGCGUAAAGCGCGUGUAGGCGGUCCGGUAAGUCCGCUGUGAAAGUCGGGGGCUCAACCCUCGAAUGCCGGUGGAUACUGUCGGGCUAGAGUGCGGAAGAGGCGAGUGGAAUUCCUGGUGUAGCGGUGAAAUGCGCAGAUAUCAGGAGGAACACCAAUUGCGAAGGCAGCUCGCCGGGACGUUACUGACGCUGAGACGCAAAAGCGUGGGGAGCAAACAGG
rnacentral:rRNA from 1 species